rnacentral:rRNA from 1 species
UCCGUAGGCGGUGUGGCAAGUCGGAAGUGAAAUCUCUGGGCUUAACCCAGAGGCUGCUUCCGAAACUGCCGUGCUAGAGUGUGAGAGAGGCGAAUGGAAUUGCGGGUGUAGCGGUGAAAUGCGUAGAUAUCCGCAGGAACAUCCGAGGCGAAAGCGGCUCGCUGGAUCACAACUGACGCUGAGGGACGAAAGCUAGGGGAGCAAACAGGAUUAGAUACCCUGGUAGUCCUAGCCCUAAACCAUCAGGACUUGGGGUUUGCCCUGUACGGGGCAAGUCCCGUAGCUAACGCGUUAAGUCCUGCGCCUGGGGAGUACGGUCGCAAGGCUGAA